UAGGGAAUCUUCCACAAUGGGCGCAAGCCUGAUGGAGCAACACCGCGUGAGUGAAGAAGGGUUUCGGCUCGUAAAGCUCUGUUGUUGGAGAAGAACGUGCGUGAGAGUAACUGUUCACGCAGUGACGGUAUCCAACCACGAAAGUCACGGCUAACUACGUCGCC
rnacentral:rRNA from 1 species